rnacentral:rRNA from 1 species
AACGAACGCUGGCGGCAUGCCUAACACAUGCAAGUCGAACGAGACCUUCGGGUCUAGUGGCGCACGGGUGCGUAACGCGGGGGAACCUGCCCUUAGGUUCGGAAUAACUCCCCGUAAGGGGUGCUAAUACCGGAUAAUGUCUUCGGACCAAAGAUUUAUCGCCUUUGGAUGGGCCCGCGUUGGAUUAGCUAGUUGGUAGGGUAAAAGCCUACCAAGGCGACGAUCCAUAGCUGGUCUGAGAGGAAGAUCAGCCACACUGGGACUGAGACACGGCCCAGACUCCUACGGGAGGCAGCAGUGGGGAAUAUAGGACAAUGGGCGAAAGCCUGAUCCAGCUAUGCCGCGUGAGUGAUGAAGGCCUUAGGGUUGUAAAGCUCUUUUACCCGGGAUGAUAAUGACAGUACCGGGAGAAUAAGCUCCGGCUAACUCCGUG